UUUGCGCACCAGCACACCCGUACGAAAGGCGGGGUCGCAAAGCCUCCGGUCUACCCCCGCCCUUUGACGGGCGGGCAUGACAGCGGGGUUGCCAGG
rnacentral:ncRNA from 1 species